GAGUUUGAUCCUGGCUCAGAACGAACGCUGGCGGCAGGCCUAACACAUGCAAGUCGAGCGAGACCUUCGGGUCUAGCGGCGGACGGGUUAGUAACGCGUGGGAACGUGCCCUUCUCUGCGGAAUAGCCACUGGAAACGGUGAGUAAUACCGCAUACGCCCUUCGGGGGAAAGAUUUAUCGGAGAAGGAUCGGCCCGCGUUAGAUUAGAUAGUUGGUGGGGUAAUGGCCUACCAAGUCUACGAUCUAUAGCUGGUUUUAGAGGAUGAUCAGCAACACUGGGACUGAGACACGGCCCAGACUCCUACGGGAGGCAGCAGUGGGGAAUCUUAGACAAUGGGCGCAAGCCUGAUCUAGCCAUGCCGCGUGUGUGAUGAAGGUCUUAGGAUCGUAAAGCACUUUCGCCAGGGAUGAUAAUGACAGUACCUGGUAAAGAAACCCCGGCUAACUCCGUGCCAGCAGCCGCGGUAAUACGGAGGGGGUUAGCGUUGUUCGGAAUUACUGGGCGUAAAGCGUACGUAGGCGGAUCAGAAAGUAAGGGGUGAAAUCCCAGGGCUCAACCCUGGAACUGCCUCUUAAACUCCUGGUCUUGAGUUCGAGAGAGGUGAGUGGAAUUCCAAGUGUAGAGGUGAAAUUCGUAGAUAUUUGGAGGAACACCAGUGGCGAAGGCGGCUCACUGGCUCGAUACUGACGCUGAGGUACGAAAGUGUGGGGAGCAAACAGGAUUAGAUACCCUGGUAGUCCACACCGUAAACGAUGAAUGCCGGUCGUCGGGCAGUAUACUGUUCGGUGACACACCUAACGGAUUAAGCAUUCCGCCUGGGGAGUACGGUCGCAAGAUUAAAACUCA
rnacentral:rRNA from 1 species